UUUUUGAAAAUAAUUUAAAGUCUAAUCUGCCCACUGAUUUUAAAUUAAAGGGCUGCAGUAUUUUGACUGUACAAAGGUAGCAUAAUCAAUAGUCUCUUAAUUGGUGACUUGUAUGAAAGAUUUGAUGAAAUAUAAACUGUCUCUAUUAAAUUUAUAAAAUUUAAUUUUUUAGUUAAAAAGCUAAAAUAUUUUUAAAAGACGAGAAGACCCUAUAGAGUUUUAUAAUUUAUUUAUUUUUAAUUUUGUUUAAAUAUUAAAGUUAAAAAUAAAUAAAUUAUUUUAUUGGGGUGAUAGAAAAAUUAGAUAAACUUUUUUUAAAAAUUUUACAUUAAUUUAUGAUUAUAUGAUCCGUAAAUUACGAUUAAAAGAUUAAAUUACCUUAGGGAUAACAGCGUAAUUUUUUUUUUUAGUUCAAAUAAGAAAAAGAGUUUGCGACCUCGAUGUUGGAUUAAGAUAAAAUUUAAAAUGCAAAAGUUUAAAAUUUUUGAUCUGUUCGAUCAUUAAAAUCUUACA
rnacentral:rRNA from 1 species